rnacentral:rRNA from 1 species
AGUGAACGCUGGCGGUAGGCCUAACACAUGCAAGUCGAACGGCAGCACAGUAAGCUCUUGCUCUUACGGUUGGCGAGUGGCGGACGGGUGAGGAAUACAUCGGAAUCUACUUUUUCGUGGGGGAUAACGUAGGGAAACUUACGCUAAUACCGCAUACCACCUACGGCUGAAAUCAGGGGAUCUUCUUACCUUUCCCGUUUUUAUGAGCCGAUGUCGGAUUAGCUAGUUGGCGGGGUAAUGGCCCACCAAGGCGACGAUCCGUAGCUGGUCUGAGAGGAUGAUCAGCCAAACUGGAAGUGAGACACGGUCCAGAGUCCUACGGGAGGAAGCAGUGGGGAAUAUUGGACAAAGGGCGCAAGCCUGAUCAAGCAAUACCGCGUGGGGGAAGAAGGCCUUCGGGUUGUAAAGCCCGUUUGUUGGGAAAGAAAAGGAGCAGGUUAAAAACCCGAUGUAAUGACGGUACCCAAAGAAUAAGCACCGGCUAACUUCGUG